GCCAGGUGUGGUGGCAGGCACCUGUCGUCCCAGCUACUGGGGAGGCUGAGGCAGGAGGACUGCUUGAGGUCAGGAGUUCAAAGCUGUAGUGCACCAUGAUCAAGCCUGUGAAUCGCCACUGCACUUUGGCCUGAGCAACAAAGCAAGAACCUGUCUCUA
rnacentral:SRP_RNA from 1 species